rnacentral:rRNA from 1 species
UACGUAGGGUGCAAGCGUUGUCCGGAAUUAUUGGGCGUAAAGAGCUCGUAGGCGGUCUGUCGCGUCUGCUGUGAAAACUCGGGGCUUAACCCCGGGCCUGCAGUGGGUACGGGCAGACUAGAGUGCGGUAGGGGAGACUGGAAUUCCUGGUGUAGCGGUGGAAUGCGCAGAUAUCAGGAGGAACACCAAUGGCGAAGGCAGAUCUCUGGGACGUAACUGACGCUGAGGAGCGAAAGCAUGGGGAGCGAACAGG